rnacentral:lncRNA from 1 species
CCAUAAAAUUAACAAUGUUUCUUAAAUUUCAUUUUUCAUUUCGAAUUUAAGAUAAGAUACAAUUGAUUAAUUAUGAGAACCACAAAUUAAUUUAUAAAUUCAAUAUUAUCAAUUACGAUUCCACUUGUGAAUGUGAAAGAAUAACGUGCAAAGUGAUGUGAACAUUGAAAUCAAGAAAGAAAUCUCUUUUAUUUUAUCGUUCAUUUAAUCCAAAUACGAAUCUUUCCUACGAAUUAAUUAUAGAAACAUUUCCGGCGUAGUGAAAGCGGAAGUAGCAUGUAAAAGAAAGUCUAAUCAGUAUAAUAUAUAUAACGAACAAUUUCAUAUGUAAUUUUUUUCGACGAAAUAUCUGAACUGAAUCAUCAUGGACAUUUCUUUCUCCUUUUAAUUAAAAUGAUUUACGAUAUCCAAUUAUAGAUAUCAAAUGGUCUGUGAUAAGUUUCAACAGUUUUAAUUCGUUAGAUAAAAGAACUAUUUCCUUAUUUUUUCUUUUUUGUCGAAAGCCAAUCCUAUAUACCGUUCGCAUCCAAGUCAAUUAAUUAAUCAAGUGUUUUCGCGGCGUGACACGUUCCUACCUGAGAUUCUCUCGUAUAUCUCGUUUGUGUUUCCGUAAUUAACGCGUUGAAUUGUUCCAUAUGAUGCGACACGGAAGCUGGAAUGCGUGUUAGUGCGAUCGUAACACGGCAGUCCUAUGACUCGAUCAUAUGCAAAUCCAAAUGCAAUCUGGCAGAGCCGGUGACAACGAGUAACGGUCGAGAAACCUUAGGUGAUCCGAGGCGAUCGAAUUUCGAAAUCGACACGACUGCAUCGCAUAAUGGCCAUACAGUUACAGUUUGAAAAGGAGCAGAGACAAGUCACGUAAGAAUUGAGGAGAAGGAAAAAAAAAAACGACAAAUGUAGGAAGCGGAAAAUUCAACGCUAUUUCACUUGCUGAGAGAUAUAUAACUCAGAUUAUACGAAUGCAAAGAGAUUCUUCGACGUGCCAUAAAUCGCACUUAAAUGUAUUAUAACUAAGGCAAAUUCUGUUCCAAAAGCAUUGUGGCGAAUAUCUACUUACUAAUCUGAUUAUCGUGUCUGCCAAGUUGUUUUUACGAUUUUGAUACGAAUUAACACUUUAUUGCCGCAAUCUAAGAUAUUCGUUACUUGGAGGAAGUUCGUGUUAAUAUCAAGAUCCAGAUUAUACACGAACAACAGUGUGCCAUACGAGUGACAAUAAAAUCCUCGACACGUUCGAAAUUUGCAAAAGGAUGAGCGAGAGGAGAAAGAACAAAUUCAUUAGACUCAUCGAUAAUUGCAAGGGAAAUAUCUUCGGGAACUUCUCACGAUAGAAUCUUUAAUGCAGCCACUUUCUUACCGAAUAAUUUAACAAGCCGAAGCACCUUUAAUCACGAAGUUUUUCCCCUUUCUCCGCCUUUCUUCCACCUUUCCGCAAUAAUUUCCCUCUUUCAAACAAGCAACGAUGGAGGAGAGUGGGGGAAGAUAGCGAAAAAAGGUGGAAGAGAACACAGUAGUUGUUUAAAAGAGGUUCAAAGCGACUGACGAACAAAUUACCGGGAAGUUUACCAAUCCCGCACGCUUCUGCCCUUCCUCUCACUCCCUCCUUCUCCUACUCUAUCUCUCUCUCUCUCUCUCUAUCUCUUCUCGAACCCACCCUUCCUCACCUUCGUUGUACUCGCCUUUUUUUAUAUAUUAAUCCCACCGCAACGACGCGCUGAUAAUCUUGGAAAGGGCUGUUUUAAAUUGGCUCCUUUGACGCGAUACGCCGCGCGAUGAGUUUCAUAUCGGAAUAAUUUUCGAGUAUCCUUCCCCAUCCUCCUCCUCUUCCACUCAUCGCCUCCUUUUUCCUUCUUUUUUCAAACUGCCGUUUUUACCACGAGCCAUCCACCAGCACCAUCAUCGAUUCGCUAAACGUCACACUGUUGAUCGCUGCUCCUUCCAAUUAUAUGCCAUUCGAAUUCUUUCACAAAUACUAUAUUGUGUUAACACUUUGUGUUUUCUUUUACAGUUACGUCGACCAUCAUCGAUUCGUUAAACGUCACACUGUUAAUCGUUUGAUGCCAAAGAACAAGGAAUAAGUGAAAAAUCUUUUGAUAUUUUACAAUUAAUUCAUAUGAAUUAUAACUAUUCUAAAGAAAUCAUACGUG